UUUCUUUAUAUCAUUGACUCAAGUAUUUUUUAUUCACAGCAGCUCCAUCUUGUGUCAAUCCAAUAACAUCUUUGGCCAUAUUAAUGCCAAAACCAACUGUCAUUCCACUGCCUCAACCAUAUACCAGAACAUUAGCCAAGAAUAUGCACAAGACUGGUUUUCAAUGUAUUUUUCUCAACGCUAUGAAGAUUCUUACUAAAAAAUUGUCUUCCUUUUACAGUGGUAUAUUGAUCAACACUCAUGUUGUUUUUAACUUCAUUUGCUGUUUUUAACUGCAUUUUGAAAUGAUUCUUCUAUGUUGUUGUAGAGUUGCCUGAACACUUAAUAAUUUUAUUAAAUUGUCUAAUGUUUAUAUUGUGUCUCUUAUUCUUUAGUAAGUGCUUUAGCAUGUUGGUCUUCUCCAUAAGCUUUUUUCUUACAGUAUAUCAAGUAACAUCUUUAGGAUUAUUGAAUCCUUCCUUAAUAAUUGUAGUAUAAAAGUUGUCCUGGACAGCAUUCUUCUUUAUAUCCUGUAACUUCAGGUUUUAUUCUUGGCCCUAUACUCUUUUAAAUUUACAUUAAUGAUCUUCCAGAAAUUCUCACAUCUAAGGUGGCAUUGUUUGCUGAUGAUAUUACCAUUUAUCUUGAUAGGAAGCCAACACUUUCUGAUGCUUAGAGGGGGCAUUUGAGCUUCAAAUUAUCUCACUUCUGCUACAGCAUGGGGCUCUCAGUGGCUGGUGAACUUUAACUCAGAUAAAACUCAAUUUUUUCAGCUAAUCGUUAUUGCAAUAAUCCAGAUCUUUGUAUAUUUAUGAAGGAUAAUGUACUCGAUGAGUCAUCUACCCUUCAUCUUCUAGGAUUAACUCUUACUUCCGAUCUUAAAUAAAUAUUUAUAAUAGUUUACUACUUAAAGCUAUGCAUAAUUUCAAAACAGAGUAUAUCAGUUGUAGGGCAAGUUUUUGAAAUUUUUUUGUUAUUAAAAAAAAAGCCUGAUAUUGGCAUUUCUUCCCUGGACAUCACUUUGUUUUGCCAUAUUUAUUGAGGAUAUUAUUGAAUUUUCUGAUUUUUUUAUUAUUCCUGCUAAAAAUUUCAAGGAACAUGAUGGAUUUAUUUGAGUGAAAAUUUCUGCAAAUUCAAAUUAUUAUUUUUUUUAUUAUAAUAUCAGAAAUCAGUGUAGUUUGACAUAUAAGGAGGCUUGCUAACUUAGUCCAACAGAAAAUGUUAUUUUAAAUGUUUUUAAAGGUCUAUAAAAACUAUAUUUUUCCCCCCUCUAAAUACUACAUUGCAUUAAUUAAAAUAUUCCUCCUAGAAUGGACAGGAAUAUAAAAAAUGUUUAUACUGAUCUGUUAUAACCAUUAUAUUGUAAAAUUGUUUCACCUGGUAUCUCUCUGUUCAUUUUGUGCUUGUAAUCUUUAACCUACUAUGUUUAUUCUUUGUUUUUAGUGUAUAAAUUAGAAAGUAUGAAAAAAUUGCAACAUUAUUUAUGAUUGUUGCUAGUAGAAAAAUAAUGGAUUAAAGACAAAGCUCAAAUAACACCAUGCAGAAAAAUCAUAAGAGUUAAAGAGAAUCAUAUAUCAGAGGCAUAGGUGUAUCAUAGCAGCAGAUUGGUUUAUUAUUACAAGAAAUAAUAAAUGAGGACAGUAUUAAAAAAAGGAAGGUUUCGUUCGAAUAAAGUUAGUGAAACAAUAGGCAGAAGGUUAGAUAACAAAGUUAAAAAUGUAAAAAAUGAACUAUGAAAUGGAAAUAGUUUGUUUUAUUAAGAAUAGAAAUAUAGCGCACCAGGGACUUUCUAAAAAAGAAGUUUCCAAAUUACGUUGGGUGACUUGUAAACUUGUAAAGUGCAUUUUAAAAAAAGGUGGAAGAAAGUUUUCAAAAUUAUUAGCAAAAGUGCAAAAACUGACAUUAAAAAUGAGAGACUUUCAAAAUCAUUUGAAAAGACUAAAUUGUACUAGGGAGAUGGCUGCAAGUCAUCUAGAUGCCUUAGUUAAUGAGUUGAUUGGUUGUAACGUAGAACUAUGAAAAAAUAAGAAUUUUGCAUAUGGUUUGGUAAUUUUGUAACAGAAAGAGUUUUCAAUUACAAUGAAACACCACAAUUUGUCAACUAUGGUUUACAGGCUACUACUACUGAGUUAGUUUAUGCUGGCAAAGCAGAGACAUAAAAAAACAGUCUUUAAUUUUUUUUUGUAAAAGUAAAUUAAUUUAUUUGAGUCUUCACCUGAUACUAUUAGAGUUACACAGCUACAUGACCAAUACCAAAUCAACAGCUCCAUCAAUACAACAAUAACACACAAUACUUUUUUCUCUUUCCAGACAAUUAAUCAAGAAAGAUUUAUAAAUAUCUUAGGAACAAUGUAGAAUAAUUGCUCAUCAGCUAAAAAUAUCAGCAGCUGCUAAUAGAUUUGGUAGAAAUAAAUUAUUGAUGAUAUGCAACAGGAUAAGUUUCAACAAGCAGCUUACUUUAUGAUGAUGUCGAACCUACUAAUGUUUUCUAUUAUCUGCUACUACUAAGAAAACAAGAAAUGUGACCUCAAACAAAAGAGCCCUAGCAACAACUUCAGGAUUGCAAUUUAAAGUGGCACAAAUAAAAGGACGGUAUGGUUCAGCAAAGUAUUGGAAAUCAAUGUAUGAAAUUUCCCAAUAUUUUUGAAAUUGAUAUGAAAUUUUAUUUCCAAAUUGAAAUGAAAAUAAAAUUUCCCAAUGAAAUUUACCAAAAGUUUACCAAAAAAGUCUUAAUAACUCUUGGAUGUAUUCAGAUAAAAUGUUUGUUUAUUGCUAUGUCCCUUUUUAGAACUUGUGUUUAAUGUUACUUAAAAUAUAUAUUGUUAUUCUAUCAAAAGUUUGUAUUUCAAUGACAUUAGUGAAACCCAUAGCUGAACCCAAGUUUAUACGUGCAGUAUUUAAGUGGAUAUGUGUUUUUAAAGGUAAUCUACUGGUACACAGUAAAAAUAAACUGUAUAAAGUAUUCUAACAGUGAAAACGUAAAAAUAUUUGCAAUAUAAAGUUUGGUUGUCUGUGUAGCAUAAUUAUAUGUUGUUGACAUGACUGAAAACAUCAACUAUUUGGUCAAAAGAUUAUAUCUACUGUUUUAGUUGCUUUUACAAUUAAUAACUUCACUUAAAUUUGUGUGCAAAUGAAUUUUCAAAAUUACUCACUACACAGUAAAAACAGUUUGUCACUAAAUUAGUAUAUGCUAAGUAAAAGCACUAAAAGUGAGACAUUUUUAUAAUUUAAUUCUGGAAACUUCCUUAGAGAAAAGUGUUAAAAAACAGUAAAAAAGCGAGUGUUAAAAAUUAGUUGUUUUUUGUUUUUUGACUUAGACAAAAAAAAUGUUUUACUGUUACUGCCUAAAAGUUUUGAAAAAUCCUAUAUACAAAGAAGAUAAAGACUGACUCUUUACAAUAUCUUCACUCUGACUGACGCCUAAUUAAAUGAUGAUGUUCUGUAAUUCAUGGGUUGCAAUUCAAACUAAAUAUAAUCAAUUCUACUGUAAAGUGAAUUGAAUGCUUAAGUUCUAUAAAAUGGUUUUUUCAAAUUUCUAGUCCAAUAUUUGUAUUUGUGGCAAGGCUUGAAUUAAGCCAGUAGUUCUUUUUUAAAAAAGUUGUUUAAAAUGUUUGACAGCAGUCAUUUCUAUAUCAUAGUUAAUGCAUGGCCCAGGAAAUCUCUAUCAGGAAGUGAAACAACUAACAUAUUUCUCAGUUUAAUUUAAAUUUUAGUGUUUCUUAUCUACUUUCUCAAUUCUAUCAUACAUAGUAUGCAGAUUAAUAAAUAUAAACAAGCAAAAUAAUUUCAGUAACUCCCAAAACUGUGCCUUAAGACCUGAACUUUCCUUUUUUGCUAUAUCUUUGGUGUUUGAAACUUCUUGAGAUUUUUUUUUAGUCUUGACAAUGCGUUUACUACUGCAUUAAAGCAUUAAAGUUUACUUUCAGUUUAGUGUUCAGAGGUAAUUUUUUGUUUUGGUAAUGCACAGUAUGUAUCACAGCUACCAUCCCUUUAAAGAAACUUAAAUGAAGCAUAAAAUACUUAAAAAAUUAACAACAACAAAAAUUGUAGCUUGUGAAAAGUUACAAUUUGAUAAAUGAUCUAAAUUUAAAUAUGAAAGAUUUCUCUUUUAAAGAGACCUCUUAGUAAAGAAAAACAGUUUCAGAACUUUUUAUAAAAUUAAAUUUUUUUUUUUUUUUUGAUGAUAUACUUUAUUAAAUUAUAUUCUUUCGCUUCACAUUCACAUCUCAUAUUUUUGAAAGACUUGAAGUUUUAAACAUAUGGUUUCCUUUUUUACCAGAUUUUUGUACAAAAGGUUCACGUAGUUCUGUUUAUGAUAUGAAUUUAUCUUUAUGGACAUUUACACACAUUUGGUUUAUAAAAAUUACAUUUAGGGAUUGCUGUAUGCCUUAAAGCAUUGAGUGGGUUCCUAAUAUAAUUAAAAAAAAAGUUCUUUAAAAAUCAACUUAGUUGAUUAGAGUCGUAAAAGAAGAUGUAAACCUGGGUCUUAAAAGAAGAAGAAGAUAAUAUCAAAAUUUCAAAAUAAUAAUAAUUUUAUAAAAAACAUUUAAAAAAAAAAAUAAUAAUCAAAAAAUCUUGAAUAAA
rnacentral:lncRNA from 1 species